rnacentral:rRNA from 1 species
CGCCUUGCCAGCCGCUCAGAACUUAAAGGAAUUGACGGGGCCCGCACAAGCGGAGGAGCAUGUGGUUUAAUUCGAUGAUACGCGAGGAACCUUACCUGGGCUCGAACGUAAGAUGACUGUAGGUGAAAGCUUACAUCUCUUCGGAGCAUUUUACGAGGUGCUGCAUGGUUGUCGUCAGCUCGUGCCGUGAGGUGUCGGGUUAAGUCCCAUAACGAGCGCAACCCCUACCUUUAGUUGCCAUCAGGUUAAGCUGGGGACUCUAAAGGAACUGCCUACGCAAGUAGUGAGGAAGGCGGGGAUGACGUCAAAUCAGCACGGCCCUUACGUCCAGGGCUACACACGUGCUACAAUGGCCGAUACAGAGGGCAGCUACCUGGUGACAGGAUGCAAAUCUCCAAAGUCGGUCUCAGUUCGGAUCGGAGUCUGCAACCCGACUCCGUGAAGUUGGAUUCGCUAGUAAUCGCGCAUCAGCCAUGGCGCGGUGAAUACGUUCCCGGGCCUU